AGCAGCCGCGGUAAUUCCAGCUCCAAUAGCGUAUAUUAAAGUUGUUGCAGUUAAAAAGCUCGUAGUUGAAUUUCGGGGUUAGCAGGUCGGUCGUGCCAUUGGUAUGAACUGGUCUCGCUGAUCCCUCCCUCCUUGACGAACUGUGAUGCCAUUAAUUUGGUGUCGCAGGGAAGUCAGGACUGUUACUUUAGAAAAAAUUAAGAGUGUUUAAAGACAGGCUCACGCUUGAAUACAUUAGCACGGAAUAAUGAAAUAGGACGUUUGUAUCCUUAUUUUGUUGGCUUCUAGGAUUGACGUAAUGAUUAAUAGGGAUAGUUGGGGGCAUUAGUAUUCAAUUGUCAGAGGUGAAAUUCUUGGAUUUAUUGAAGACUAACUACUGCGAAAGCAUUUGCCAAGGUAUGUUUUCAUUAAAUCAAGAACGAAAGUUAGGGGAUCGAAGACGAUCAGAUACCGUCGUAGUCUUAACCAUAAACUAUGCCGACUAGGGAUCGGAUGAUGUUAAUUUUUUAANGACUU
rnacentral:rRNA from 1 species